rnacentral:Y_RNA from 2 species
GGCUGGUCCGAGUGCAGUGGUGUUUACAACUAAUUGAUCACAACCAGUUACAGAUUUCUUUGUUCGUUCUCCACUCCCACUGCUUCACUUGACUUUAA